rnacentral:rRNA from 1 species
CCUUCGGGUGUGAAUUAGCGGCGAACGGGUGAGGAACACGUGAAGAAUCUGCCUUCAACUCUGGGAUAACUCCGGGAAACCGGGGCUAAUACCGGAUAUGAGCCUUGAUCGCAUGAUCGGGGCUGGAAAGUUUUUCGGUUGAAGAUGACUUCGCGGCCUAUCAGCUUGUUGGUGAGGUAAUGGCUCACCAAGGCGACGACGGGUAGCCGGCCUGAGAGGGCGACCGGCCACACUGGGACUGAGACACGGCCCAGACUCCUACGGGAGGCAGCAGUGGGGAAUAUUGGGCAAUGGAGGAAACUCUGACCCAGCGACGCCGCGUGAGGGAUGAAGGCCUUCGGGUUGUAAACCUCUUUCAGUAGGGAAGAAGCGAAAGUGACGGUACCUACAGAAGAAGCACCGGCUAACUAUGUGCCAGCAGCCGCGGUAAUACAUAGGGUGCAAGCGUUGUCCGGAAUUAUUGGGCGUAAAGAGCUCGUAGGUGGUUCGAUACGUCGGAUGUGAAAAUCAGGGGCUCAACCCCUGACCUGCAUCCGAUACGGUCGAGCUAGAGUUUGGUAGGGGAGACUGGAAUUCCUGGUGUAGCGGUGGAAUGCGCAGAUAUCAGGAGGAACACCGAUGGCGAAGGCAGGUCUCUGGGCCAAUACUGACACUGAGGAGCGAAAGCGUGGGGAGCGAACAGGAUUAGAUACCCUGGUAGUCCACGCCGUAAACGGUGGGCGCUAGUUGUGCGAACCUUCCACGGUUUGUGCGACGCAGCUAACGCAUUAAGCGCCCCGCCUGGGGAGUACGAUCGCAAGAUUAAAACUCAAAGGAAUUGACGGGGCCCCGCACAAGC